UACGGGAGGGGCAAGCGUUGUUCGGAAUUACUGGGCGUAAAGGGCUCGUAGGUGGCCAACUAAGUCGGACGUGAAAUCCCUCGGCUUAACCGGGGAACUGCGUCCGAUACUGGAUGGCUUGAGUUUGGGAGAGGGAUGCGGAAUUCCAGGUGUAGCGGUGAAAUGCGUAGAUAUCUGGAGGAACACCGGUGGCGAAGGCGGCAUCCUGGACCAACACUGACGCUGAGGAGCGAAAGCCAGGGGAGCAAACGGG
rnacentral:rRNA from 1 species